UACGUAGGUGGCAAGCGUUGUCCGGAAUUAUUGGGCGUAAAGAGCUCGUAGGCGGUGUGUCGCGUCGGCCGUGAAAACCUGCAGCUUAACUGUGGGCUUGCGGUCGAUACGGGCAGACUGGAGUUCGGCAGGGGAGACUGGAAUUCCUGGUGUAGCGGUGAAAUGCGCAGAUAUCAGGAGGAACACCGGUGGCGAAGGCGCCACUCUGGGCCGAAACUGACGCUGAGGAGCGAAAGCGUGGGUAGCAAACAGG
rnacentral:rRNA from 1 species